rnacentral:rRNA from 1 species
AGUGAACGCUGGCGGUAGGCCUAACACAUGCAAGUCGAACGGCAGCACAGUAAGAGCUUGCUCUUACGGGUGGCGAGUGGCGGACGGGUGAGGAAUACAUCGGAAUCUACUUUUUCGUGGGGGAUAACGUAAGGAAACUUACGCUAAUACCGCAUACGACCUACGGGUGAAAGCAGGGGAUCUUCGGACCUUGCGCGAUUGAAUGAGCCGAUGUUGGAUUAGCUAGUUGGCGGGGUAAAGGCCCACCAAGGCGACGAUCCGUAGCUGGUCUGAGAGGAUGAUCAGCCACACUGGAACUGAGACACGGUCCAGACUCCUACGGGAGGCAGCAGUGGGGAAUAUUGGACAAUGGGCGCAAGCCUGAUCCAGCCAUACCGCGUGGGUGAAGAAGGCCUUCGGGUUGUAAAGCCCUUUUGUUGGGAAAGAAAAGCAGCAGGUUAAUACCCCGCUGCUCUGACGGUACCCAAAGAAUAAGCACCGGCUAACUUCGUG